CACCCAAGCAAGAACCCAAGGUUCCAUGGCCUGUUCUACUGUCUUAAUGCUUGCAAAGAAGGGUUUUUAAAUGGAUGUAGGCCAUUCAUAGGGGUAGAUGGUUGUUUUAUCAAGCUGUCAAUAGGUCAGCAGAUCCUUGCUGCAACAGGAAGGGAUGGAAACAACAACAUAUACCCUAUAGCAUUUGGAGUUGUUGACAAAGAGGACACAGACAGCUGGACCUGGUUCUUAACACAACUGAAAGAUGCACUUGGUGGAGAAAGUGGAAAGUUUGGGUAUUAUACUAUCAUUUCUGAUAGGCAGAAGGGCCUUUUAAAUGCAGUAAACCAUGUUUUUCCCAAUUGUCCACAAAGAUUCUGCCUUAGACACAUUUAUUAGAAUUUCCAAACUGCUGGUUUUAGAGGUGAUGAAUUAAAGAAACACAUGGAUGCAGCUAGUUACUCUUAUACUAAGAAUGAACACCUAGCUGCAAUGAAUGAUAUGAAAAGAGAGUGUAAGGCAGCUUGGGCAUGGCUUAAUAAAGUACCAGUUCAUA